AGAGUUUGAUCCUGGCUCAGGACGAACGCUGGCGGCGUGCCUAAUACAUGCAAGUCGAGCGGACUUAAAAAGCUUGCUUUUUAAGUUAGCGGCGGACGGGUGAGUAACACGUGGGCAACCUGCCUGUAAGACUGGGAUAACUUCGGGAAACCGGAGCUAAUACCGGAUAAUCCUUUUCUACUCAUGUAGAAAAGCUGAAAGACGGUUUACGCUGUCACUUACAGAUGGGCCCGCGGCGCAUUAGCUAGUUGGUGAGGUAACGGCUCACCAAGGCGACGAUGCGUAGCCGACCUGAGAGGGUGAUCGGCCACACUGGGACUGAGACACGGCCCAGACUCCUACGGGAGGCAGCAGUAGGGAAUCUUCCGCAAUGGACGAAAGUCUGACGGAGCAACGCCGCGUGAGUGAUGAAGGUUUUCGGAUCGUAAAACUCUGUUGUUAGGGAAGAACAAGUACGAGAGUAACUGCUCGUACCUUGACGGUACCUAACCAGAAAGCCACGGCUAACUACGUGCCAGCAGCCGCGGUAAUACGUAGGUGGCAAGCGUUGUCCGGAAUUAUUGGGCGUAAAGCGCGCGCAGGCGGUCCUUUAAGUCUGAUGUGAAAGCCCACGGCUCAACCGUGGAGGGUCAUUGGAAACUGGGGGACUUGAGUGCAGAAGAGAAGAGUGGAAUUCCACGUGUAGCGGUGAAAUGCGUAGAAGAUGUGGAGGAACACCAGUGGCGAAGGCGA
rnacentral:rRNA from 2 species